rnacentral:rRNA from 2 species
UGAAUUCAUCUCCGGGGGUAGAGCACUGUUUCGGCUAGGGGGCCAUCCCGGCUUACCAACCCGAUGCAAACUGCGAAUACCGGAGAAUGUUAUCACGGGAGACACACGGCGGGUGCUAACGUCCGUCGUGAAGAGGGAAACAACCCAGACCGCCAGCUAAGGUCCCAAAGUCAUGGUUAAGUGGGAAACGAUGUGGGAAGGCCCAGACAGCCAGGAUGUUGGCUUAGAAGCAGCCAUCAUUUAAAGAAAGCGUAAUAGCUCACUGGUCGAGUCGGCCUGCGCGGAAGAUGUAACGGGGCUAAACCAUGCACCGAAGCUGCGGCAGCGACACUGUGUGUUGUUGGGUAGGGGAGCGUUCUGUAAGCCUGUGAAGGUGUGUCGUGAGGCAUGCUGGAGGUAUCAGAAGUGCGAAUGCUGACAUAAGUAACGAUAAAGCGGGUGAAAAGCCCGCUCGCCGGAAGACCAAGGGUUCCUGUCCAACGUUAAUCGGGGCAGGGUGAGUCGACCCCUAAGGCGAGGCCGAAAGGCGUAGUCGAUGGGAAACGGGUUAAUAUUCCCGUACUUGGUGUUACUGCGAAGGGGGGACGGAGAAGGCUAUGUUGGCCGGGCGACGGUUGUCCCGGUUUAAGCGUGUAGGUGUGUGUUCCAGGUAAAUCCGGUUCACUUUAACACUGAGGCGUGACGACGAGGCACUACGGUGCUGAAGCAACAAAUGCCCUGCUUCCAGGAAAAGCCUCUAAGCAUCAGGUAACAUCAAAUCGUACCCCAAACCGACACAGGUGGUCAGGUAGAGAAUACCAAGGCGCUUGAGAGAACUCGGGUGAAGGAACUAGGCAAAAUGGUGCCGUAACUUCGGGAGAAGGCACGCUGACACGUAGGUGAAGUGAUUUACUCAUGGAGCUGAAGUCAGUCGAAGAUACCAGCUGGCUGCAACUGUUUAUUAAAAACACAGCACUGUGCAAACACGAAAGUGGACGUAUACGGUGUGACGCCUGCCCGGUGCCGGAAGGUUAAUUGAUGGGGUCAGCGCAAGCGAAGCUCCUGAUCGAAGCCCCGGUAAACGGCGGCCGUAACUAUAACGGUCCUAAGGUAGCGAAAUUCCUUGUCGGGUAAGUUCCGACCUGCACGAAUGGCGUAAUGAUGGCCAGGCUGUCUCCACCCGAGACUCAGUGAAAUUGAACUCGCUGUGAAGAUGCAGUGUACCCGCGGCAAGACGGAAAGACCCCGUGAACCUUUACUAUAGCUUGACACUGAACAUUGAGCCUUGAUGUGUAGGAUAGGUGGGAGGCUUUGAAGUGUGGACGCCAGUCUGCAUGGAGCCGACCUUGAAAUACCACCCUUUAAUGUUUGAUGUUCUAACGUGGACCCGUUACCCGGGUUGCGGACAGUGUCUGGUGGGUAGUUUGACUGGGGCGGUCUCCUCC